UACGAAGGGGGCUAGCGUUGUUCGGAUUUACUGGGCGUAAAGCGCACGUAGGCGGAUACUUAAGUCAGGGGUGAAAUCCCGGGGCUCAACCCCGGAACUGCCUUUGAUACUGGGUAUCUCGAGUCCGGAAGAGGUGAGUGGAAUUCCGAGUGUAGAGGUGAAAUUCGUAGAUAUUCGGAGGAACACCAGUGGCGAAGGCGGCUCACUGGUCCGGUACUGACGCUGAGGUGCGAAAGCGUGGGGAGCAAACAGG
rnacentral:rRNA from 1 species